rnacentral:miRNA from 2 species
GCUGAAUUCAGAUGGUGCCAUAGA